GAUGAAGAACUUAGCGAAAUGCGAUACGUAGUGUGAAUUGCAGAAUUCCGUGAACCAUCAAAUCUUUGAACGCAUAUUGCGCUCGAGGCUUCGGCCGAGAGCAUGUCUGCCUCAGCGUCGGUAUUACCCCUUGCUUCUCAACCCCUGGUUGAUGCCUGCCUGCCUUUGCAGUUGGCUAGAAGCGGAUCUGGCUUUCCCAAUUGCCUUUGGUAGUUGGGUCAGCUGAAGCACAGAGGCUUGAGCAAGGACCCUUAUUGGGCUUCAACUGGAUAGGUAGAACUGGUCUUAGGACCAACUACACGAAGUUGUUGCUUGUGGUCUUUGUCUGGAGGCCAGCAGGAAACCUUUAUACCUUCGACCUGAGCUCAGGCAAGAUUACCCGCUGAACUUAAGCAUAUCAAUAAGCGGAGGA
rnacentral:misc_RNA from 1 species